GUCCUUUUGUAUAUUUAUAUAAGGUCUAACCUGCCCAAUGAAUUUGUUUUUAAUGGCCGCAGUAUUUUAACUGUGCAAAGGUAGCAUAAUCAUUUGUCUUUUAAAUGGAGGCUAGUAUGAAUGGUUGGACGAGAAAUAUCCUUUCUUAUUAUUAAAUAAUAAUAAUUUAAUUUUUUAGUUAAAAAGCUAAAAUUUUAUUAUAGGACGAGAAGACCCUAUAGAAUUUUACUUCUUAUUAUAUAAUAAUACUUUUUAAUUAAUAUAUCUUUGUUAUAUAAUGAUAAGUUUUGUUGGGGUGACAUAAAAAUUUUCUUAACUUUUUAUUUAUUUUUUCAUAAAUUAAUGUUUAUAUGAUCCAUUAUUAAUGAUUAUAAGAUUAAAUUACCUUAGGGAUAACAGCGUUAUCUUUUUAGAGAGUUCAUAUCGAUAAAAAGGUUUGCGA
rnacentral:rRNA from 1 species